rnacentral:rRNA from 1 species
UACGUAGGUGGCAAGCGUUGUUCGGAAUAACUGGGCGUAAAGGAUGCGUAGGCGGUUAAACAAGUUAUAUGUUAAAUAUAUAGGCUUAACCUGUAGAAAGCAUAUAAAACUGUUUAACUAGAGUGCAGGAGAGGUAAGUGGAAUUCCUAGUGUAGCGGUGAAAUGCUUAGAUAUCACGAAGAACUCCGAUUGCGAAGGCAGCUCACUGGACUGCAACUGACACUGAGGCUCGAAAGUGUGGGUAUCAAACAGG